AUUGAACGCUGGCGGCAGGCCUAACACAUGCAAGUCGAGCGGAUGAAGGGAGCUUGCUCCUGGAUUCAGCGGCGGACGGGUGAGUAAUGCCUAGGAAUCUGCCCGGUAGUGGGGGAUAACAUCCGGAAACGGGCGCUAAUACCGCAUACGUCCUGAGGGAGAAAGUGGGGGAUCUUCGGACCUCACGCUAUCAGAUGAGCCUAGGUCGGAUUAGCUAGUUGGUGGGGUAAAGGCCUACCAAGGCGACGAUCCGUAACUGGUCUGAGAGGAUGAUCAGUCACACUGGAACUGAGACACGGUCCAGACUCCUACGGGAGGCAGCAGUGGGGAAUAUUGGACAAUGGGCGAAAGCCUGGUCCAGCCAUGCCGCGUGUGUGAAGAAGGUCUUCGGAUUGUAAAGCACUUUAAGUUGGGAGGAAGGGCAGUAAGUUAAUACCUUGCUGUUUUGACGUUACCAACAGAAUAAGCACCGGCUAACUUCGUG
rnacentral:rRNA from 1 species